UAGGGAAUCUUCGGCAAUGGGGGGAACCCUGACCGAGCAACGCCGCGUGAGUGAAGAAGGUUUUCGGAUCGUAAAGCUCUGUUGUUAAGGAAGAACGAGUGUGAGAAUGGAAAGUUCAUACUGUGACGGUACUUAACCAGAAAGGGACGGCUAACUACGUGCCAGCAGCCGCGGUAAUACGUAGGUCCCGAGCGUUGUCCGGAUUUAUUGGGCGUAAAGCGAGCGCAGGCGGUCAAUUAAGUCUGAUGUGAAAGCCUCCGGCUCAACCGGGGAGGGUCAUUGGAAACUGGUUGACUUGAGUGCAGAAGAGGAGAGUGGAAUUCCAUGUGUAGCGGUGAAAUGCGUAGAUAUAUGGAGGAACACCAGUGGCGAAGGCGACUCUCUGGUCUGUAACUGACGCUGAGGCUCGAAAGCGUGGGUAGCAAACAGG
rnacentral:rRNA from 1 species